GGCGCUGUGGCGGAGCGGUUAACGCGAUAGACUAGAAUCAAUAAUUCUGAUAUCUAUUUCCUUCGGGAGCGCAGGUUCAAGUCCUGCCGGCGUCG